GUAGCGCAGCUGGGCCGCGCGCUGUGGGGGCUGGGCUCCCUCACCCUUGUCCUUGCCCUCACCACCGUGCUCCACCUGCCGGCCGCCGGACCUGUCUUCGCCCACUACAAGGCAGCAUAUUAUACCAUCCUCGCCUUUGUCCUCUUCAUCGCCGUUCCGGUGGAGCUGGCCACCGCUUUCUGUCUGCCGCGCUGCAGCGACGGGUGCCGCCUCCUUGGCUUCGCCAGGGGCCUCCUGCCCUGCGCUUACGUGCUGCUCCUCGUCGUCAUCUCCGUGGGAAUGGUUUUCUUGGAAGUUAGCUAGUCUUGCAACAUUUCAACUUCAAGGAAAUGAAGCCAGUGGUUAUGAUCUCUUUGGCGCGCAACUUAAUUUGUCAUCUCUGGAGUUGUAACCAGUGUUCAUGUACAGCUCAAGAAAGAGGCAUCAGGAUGUCAAGGAUGGUUUGGUAUUUUUUUUAGAAAGAGGCACCUGCUCAUUGUCCCUAAAAUUAAACUGGUGCCACCCCUGUCGAUAAAUCUGAUGAUUACAUUUUGAAUCGUCAUUUGCACUUGACGUCUCAUUACACAAACCAUAUAUUCUGAAUUGUCGGUGCAUCCUCUGGAGGUUUCUCACAGAAUGCGAGCUCCAAGAUGUGCUUUGGUUUCUUGCUCACCGCGGCUACAGUUUCUACGUGGUCUGCAUCGACGUCUUUCCAAAGCAGCUCUCAAUGUAUCCGAUCGGCCUCCUGCUGCGCGGCUUCUCCCACACUGUGUUGCUGAUCCUUCGUCGCUGGGUGUGCCCUUCGAGAUGCUCGACAUGCUCGCCAACGAAGCGCUCCAGCAGGGGCUCAAGCAGUACUCCAGCUGCAACCACACUCCCGUGGCUCUACAUCGACAGCCAGUUCUUCAACGGUUGUGACAUCACCGUUGGUACAUAUAUAUACACUCUCUGUCUUUCCUUCUCUCGUAAUUUCGGUUGAGGACUUUGAAACCCUCUGUUACAGGCAGUAGAGGCGCAUGGUAUUGGAAUAUGAGUCUGUUAUGUGAGAGACCUGUUUUGUGUAGCAUCAGUCCAUAGAAAUUCGUUCAAUAAACUGACAUAUAUAUA